rnacentral:rRNA from 1 species
UACGGGGGGAGCAAGCGUUGUUCGGAUUUACUGGGCGUAAAGGGCGCGUAGGCGGCCACUGCAAGUCGGUUGUGAAAUCUCCGGGCUUAACCCGGAAAGGUCAAUCGAUACUGCAGGGCUAGAGUGCGGAAGGGGCAACUGGAAUUCUCGGUGUAGCGGUGAAAUGCGUAGAUAUCGAGAGGAACACCUGCGGCGAAGGCGGGUUGCUGGGCCGACACUGACGCUGAAGUGCGAAAGCUAGGGGAGCGAACGGG